ACUCUAACACGGCGGCACUUGCU
rnacentral:miRNA from 15 species